AGCACCUCAAAGAGUGCUAAAUCUCCUAAAAGAGGAAAAGGCAGUGUUGAGGCCAUGGCUGCCCCAUCUCUGCUGUGUGGGAGCCAAGCAAGGCUGGUGUCACUCAUAGUGCAGUGCGGGUACAAACACCUGCAACGUGUCAUCAUCACGGUCCCCAGCCAGGACAGACACAGAGGGGACAAAAGUUCUUUUCACCAGAGCCUGAACCUGCUUGGCUGUGGGCCUGGAGGUGCCCACCACGGUAAAUGAUGAUGUACAUCCACAAAUCUUUUCUUCCAUAGAUUCACCGAAUUUUUUUCCUCUUCCCACAGUACUACUCUGUCUUUUUCUCCAGUGACUGAUGGUGUGGCUAAAUGGUGUUGAGCCAAAAUCUGAUCAGUAUGGAAGGAUCACAGUACCAACCCUGCAGUGCCAGAGCUGGAGCUGUGCCUCCAGCCCUGUCCUUGGCUCAUCUCUGGCUCCUGGGUCAUCUGGGCUCUGGACUGGGGCCACUGCAAGCUGCACCUGAGAUGGUGACCCUGUGACCAGCACCUGGCUGUGCUCAGACCUGGCGGGACUCUGCCUGCUGUUGGGGACAGUAUCUCUGCUGAGGUCAUCUUGGCUCCCCUUCCCUUAGGGAACUGCUGACCCGUCCUGCUCUGCUGGACUCACCAUUUUGUUGUAAGAGAGUGAGUACAAGCCCUGUUCACCUGCACAUCAGCCUGCUCCUCUGUGACCCUCCCUGGGUGCCAGUGGGAGCUGCUGUCCUGCUGCGCUAUUCCGUGGCUAUGUCAGGAGAUGAAGGUGCAGGGCUGGGAUAACACGAGGCUUGCUGCUCCCACGUGUGAGUGGGUGCUCCAGGCUUCAUCCACCAGUUGCUCCCUGCAAGAAGAACCCAUGAUCCAACCAACUCCUUCCCUAGCCAAGGCCUACAGCCUCCCACCGGGGCUUGGUACGUGCCAUGUCCUGGGUGACCGCUCUGCCAGCACAGCUCCCCAGGGAUGGCAGCGGGGCAGGAUCUGCUGCUCAGCUGUCUCAGAGGCUGAGGCUGGAUGUGUCCCUCUGGGCAGCUCAAGAAAAGGCUGCUCAGCCUGUUCCCUUCAUGGAGCUGGAGAGCAACCUUGCUUGGUCUGGAGGAUAGAGCAGUCAGAAAAGGUUACAUAACCCCCAAUCAAUCUGCCAGAGGGGUGGCUGCACCAGCAGCAAGAGCAGUGCCACUCGGGAUGUGGCUGGGCAGGAGCAUGCCCUGCCUGCUGGGACCCUGCUGUGGGACCCUGCCUCCCCCGGGCCUGCAGGCCCUCUCCCCACUUCCCUCCUUCCACACCCGCCUGAGUCUCCUGUCCCUGUCAGAGUCUGGUCUUUUUGUUGUUCAAAAUGCACUUGGGCAGCUCGAGGAGCCCGUGCAGCUCCCUCUGUUCUGGGCUGAAACUGCUGCACAGCAAUUUCUUUUCCCAUUUCAUCUCUGGCAGAGCCCUUGAGCUUUGCUCCCUUCCUCUUCCACCCUCCUUUCCUCCCUGGCUGAGCUUCUCCCUGGCCCAGUCUCCUUCCCUGCUGUCCCUUUCUGCUCCCAGCUCCUAUUUAACUCCCAUUUUUUCUGUCCUCUCCCUCCUUUAGUACUCCCACCCAGAAGACAGAUCACAAACCACAAGCUCUGCUGUUCAUCUUACAGAUCCUAAACCACUUUCUCAGCGUGAUAAAUGUGGCCUGCUAGUCCUGUGGAGAGGAUCCCCUAGGAUGCAAACCACUACUGGGAUCUGUGGCAACCCCAUGGCAUCAAGCCACAGGGUCAAACAUACAAGGGAACGUGUUGCAGCUGCCUUGCCCCGAGUGUGGGCACCACUACCUGCUCCCCUUAGGAAUUCAGACCUGCACAAGGCCCGCCAAACACACCUGUGUCCUUCCAGUGCCCCACCAGGUCUCUUGGCAGCAAGGAAUUGGCUUUAAUUCUGUGAGUUUUAUAAAGCCUGACUCAAAUCUCCGGGAUUUUAGGCAGCGCUAAUACCCAGAGCGGGGUGGUGUGAGCACAGCCCUGGGGUCAGGUGCUGGGGACAAGAUGGGUCAAGAAAAGCACCAACCCAGCGUUUUAGAGCAGAGCUAACUAGGAACAGCUUAUUCCAUUAGGAAAAAAGGAAAAAAAAAAAAAAAAUCAUUCUUAAUUAGGACAGAAACCCCCAGAUAGGCUUUUUAAAAGAAAAUGCCUAAAAUACCAUUUUUGCUUUGAUUUGAAGACUAUUUUUUGCUCUUCAGACUGUAAGAUAAAACACAUUUGAAUUGAUGAUGCAUUUCACAGCAAAAAUACAUCCCUUUUCAUCUUCAAAAUGCUGAAAUGAGUUGUUACAAAAUUUUCAACGUUUACCCUCUUUCUUAAAAACCAAAAUUUUUAAUUUAGAUGAAAUGUCUUAUUUUUUUUUUCUAAUGGAAACUCUUGAUUACAUUUUUUCCCAACAGCUCUAAUUAGAAUUAACAAUUACAGCUGAUUCUUGGCGGGGUGAUAAACAGCUGGACUGUGCAGCCCUCUCUGCUCUGGGACUUCCAAACAAGCCCCAGCCCUGGCAGUUUAGCCCUCUGCAACAUUUUAGACUUGUCUAGUCACUGGAAUUUAUUUUUCUUUCCUUUUUUUCCCCACCCUUUCUCCUCUGAGGGUUAGUUUUUACCAGUGCAGCAUCUCUAACAGUCAGGGAACUUCACAGUGAGUUGAGAUCGCAUUGAUUUCUCGAGGAAGAAGCUGCAUACUAAUUUUUCCUAUUUUUCUCCCUUGAGGAACACAGGUAGCAGCUCCAGGAACGCAGCUGGGUUUGUAGAUAUUUUGUUCACCUGCUGGCUGACAGGAAAGUCUGAGGUCUGUGGGACCAUCAUGGGACACGAGGAGACUUUGGCUGGUCUGGUGCAAUGCUGGCGUUGCUGGGAAAGCACCUGGGAUUGAAGUAGAACAGGUUAAGCCUGAGAAAAGCAUUAGGUGAGGAUCAGGGGGUGGAUCAGUCCAUGCCCUAGCAUGCUAUGCUGCCAGUGCUUCCCUCUGCAUUCAGGAUGAUCCUCACCCCCCCCAGCUCUCUGGGGGCAAGGGAAGGAACGCUGGAGCAGUGUGAAUGGAGAGGAAGGGACUGUGGUGGAGGUGAAGGGAAGAUGUCAGAGUCUGCUCUUAAACCCCGAAACCCUCUGUUCCAGGCACCCAGGCAGGUUUGUCCAGCCUUUGCAGGCAAACUCCAGAGAGCCAAGAGGCCCUGGGGCACCCUCCUUCAUGAAGGCAGCGUCCCCAGUGCCCACUGUGGCUCCUGGGCUGCUGUGUCCAGUGCUUUUCAUCGCUGCUCCUCCCCGUGCUGGCUCCACACUGUUAAGGGCUGAUCUUCCCUCCCUGGAAACAAGCCCAUGGCUUCAGCCUGUCCCACCUCACUCCUCCCACUCCCCUGCCAAACAGUUAUUGCCUUCUUGGACAAACCUGAGAGAGUAUUAAGCGAGAGGGAGGUUUUCAUACACAAAUGUCCCUGUGAUUAAUGGAUUAAGAGAUUCUGUGCAAAUUAAAGCCUUUCUUCAUGCUUCACACAAUGAGCUCUUCAGCUGCUGCUCUUUCCCUUUGAGUCCUUUACAGAAAUUCCUGUGGGCCUUGCUUGCCCCAUCCCUUUUGCUGCUGUUUUCUCCCCACAGUGACCCAGGGAUGUGGCUGACACUCAUUUUCCCCAAAGCCUUCACCCCGCUGAGUCCUGGGCAGACCCUGCUGCUCCUGAGCCAGCGCUGUGGAGAGGAGGAUGCUGUGAGCACAGCUUGUUUAUACACAAAACCAACCCAGGAGAGGGGCUGUAAAUGCCACUUUAUUUCCGCAUUUAUCAUUGCAGCUCAGAUGGAUGAGGAACCCAAUGGAAAGUUUAGAUGAAACAGAGAAGAAAUGAAAAAGUGUUGGCAAGCGCCAGCUCAGCUGAGAGACUGGCAGCCUCAAGGGCUUCCAGAAAGAAAAAGGCUUUCAAUUACUGCACUGCUGCUCCAUAACAUCCUGCCACGCCAGGAGGGGUGGGGCAGCUGGGGAGCCCUGCCCUCCUGUGAUCCCACCCCAGGGAGAUGGACCUGAGACCCCAAAGCAGCAUGUUUGGUCUUGUUGAUGUUUUACAGGGCUGAUUUCUUCCCGGACGCUGGUACCAGGAGCAGCAGCAGAGUGUGGAUGUGGAGGCUCCAUAAGUAUCUCCAGGUGAUGGAGAUACUUAUGACCGUGGUCACCCGUGCCAUGGUGGAAAGGAGCCACAAGGGCUUUGCCAGACACCUUCAGAACAUCCAGUGCUGGAUGAUGAUUUAAAGCCCGUUUUUGCAGGGAAUAAUGGCUCAAAACCAUCCCCUGUCCCUUAAUGAUACAACACUGCUGAGAUGGAUGGUCUCCUUGUUUCCACCUCAGGGGAGGUGUUUUAUUAACUGUCCCUGCCCUUGCUCCUGAGCCCACAUGUGCUGUGAUGUGGAGGUGCUUCAAAUACAGCGAAGAGGAGGUGGCAGCCGAGAUGUGACUCCUGGGGGAGGCAGCCAGAGAGGCAGGGAUGGGUGUUGCCCAUGGGCUUUUCCAGAUCUGAAUCCUUCAGCCCUGGGAAGGACUGACUGCCCCCAGGCCAAGGGAGUCUGGCUCUGCUGAGGGAUAACCAGGACUCUGUGUCUGUGACCAGGGUCUGUUCCAUAGGGAGGAGGCAGGGGAUUGAACUGUCCCCUUGCUGCCUGCAUGGCCCUCUAUGCUGGUGACUUUAUUUUUCACCCAAAUCCCUGCUUGGGCACCCAUAAAGGCCCCUGCCCAGGUCAUUUGGGGUGACGGCUUCUAGAAAGGGUCCGUGGGGUUGCUGUCCCUGCCUGGUCACAGCUGAGCUGGUGGCACUGAAAACUUGAGGUUCCCUUCACAGCCCUUCUGUACCUACAGGUCCCUGAGCUCUCACUACAGGCUUUAUUCUCCUCCCUGCUUCCCACUCAUUUGUGCCCGGCUCCGGAGCAAAGCGCUGGGAAUUGAUCACUGCGUCACUUUUGCUAAUUUAAUCCAAGGCCGGUAUCAGGCAGGAGCGAGCGGGGGAACCUGCGGGGGGCAAAGCACUUGGUGGUGAUGAACGGCGCCGUUAAUAACCCGGAAUGAAACGCUGCAGUCACCUGGCACCGCCGCCUCUCGAUCCAGGCACAGCCCUCCCUCUGUCCUGCAGCUGAAGUCCCACAAGGGCAGAGCUGUCCCGUGGAUACGGCCCAGAGGGAGAAGAAGCAUCAGGGGUUGUCACUCAGCGGGAUCCUGGCCCCGAGCUGUGCCACGGCUGCACGGGCAGCAGCUCACCAGUAAACCUCGUGCUUCACCCCUCUUGGCACAGCCCUUCCGAGAGCAGGGAUGGCCCCUGGGCUCAUCGCAUCCUGCUUACCAUUUCGGAGCCCCCAAGGGCUGAUGGCAAAAGCCCUUGCAUGAGUAAUUAUUUUGGCAGUGAAUGAAAUAGGAUUUGUGCUGGUGGUGAUAAGAGGCUGCAAGUUGGAGCCAUCUGAUCCUCGUGGCAAUUUGGAGUGGCUGAUGCUGACAUGGCAGAACAGGUCCUGCAAUAGCCUUCAUGUCCCAGCACACAAAAUGGGUGAGGAAAAGCAUUUUUAAAAGGGACUGGAGUAACUCCACAGCUGUGGUGCCAUCCUAUCUCAAGCCCAGGGUUCCCCUCUGGCCUCUCUGGAGUCACAUGUACUGCAAAAACCCUCUGGUCUGAACUCGGGCUGGGUCAUGACUCACUUCUUGGGCUGUAAAAAUGCAUUUCAUUGUGCCAGCGUGGAAAGUGGCCGUGGGCAGCUCUCCAGCAGCGGUGAGGCUGGCUGGGGCAGGCUGUUCAACAAUUACACCCGCUGGAGCCCAAAUUCCAUCUCAUAUUUUGCUACAGCACAACAAAAAAGGUUGAGGGGAAAAGUGUUUCUGGCCACAAAUCCAUCUAUUUUGCUGCAAAUGGGGAGUGCAAAGCCUGGACCUGCCACCUGGAAAUGUGACCUCAGGAGUCUCCUGCAGCCUGUGGAGUCUGCUUCAUAUCCAGGAGAGACACCUCUCGUGCUGGUCCUGGCAUCCUUCCAGAGGGAAAAGGGCAACUGAACCCUCUGAAUGUCUCUGCCUUGCUGUGUUAAACAGCAUCCAUGGCUUUUCUCUGGGUCUGCCUCCAACCAAAACUACCUGCAGGCACUUUUAGUAUGAAAAAAUCACUAAAAAACUAAAAGUUACCUGUCAAGGGGCAGCACUGUGAGGCUUUGCAGCGAUGGCACCUUGUCACUUAAUUUUGCUUUUGGACUUAAAUGUCCACUUAUGUGUCUGGGGGUGUUUAGCAUCAGUCAUGCAAUUUAAUUCGUGACCAAAUUUGGGACACAUUGCCACAACUGAACUACUGGAGAAGCCAGACAGCCUUGAGGAGAGGAGCCUGGUGGCUCCAGAUGAGCAUGUGGCAGUCCUGGGCACAAACCCACACACCUUUUCCUGAAGAAAAUCUGAAUUCCUUAAAGGACGGGGUUUAACCAGGAGGGAUCAAUUCAUGAAGUGCAGCUGCCCUGUUGUCACUGUGGUCCAGGACAGAGCAGUGCUGUGGGACCGGGAGAGGGGCUCUGUGCUCGUUAACACCCUGGGGACUAACGAAGCCCAGGAGCAGCUGCCAACAGAGCCAGCUGAAGGAUUCCUGCUGCCUCCCACCAAGGCGGCCCGUGAUUCAUCAAUUACCUAUCUGCUUAGUCCUUUUCUCCGUCCUUUUACAAUCUAAAUAGCACAUUUUAUAGUCGCUGCUAAGUGAUGUGAUCAACAUCAAUUACCUACUAAAAGAGAAUCAAGUCUUGAUUUAAAAUUAAGUGCUGCAUUUUCCCAUGUUCUUUAUAUGUAGCCAACAGAAUAAUUGCAGUGACAUAAAAGCUAAUUACACAACUCCACAAUUAGGCCUCCCUCCUAGUGCUGUGAUUGUCUUUAAGUAUACUGAUGAAAAAUUACUCCCAGUCCCAAAUUACUCUCUCACACCCAUCUUCCCUAAUACCUUUGGAAAAAGCCGUCCACCCCAUUAGACCAAAGAGAGGAACUCGAGAUGCAGAAGGCGUACAUGCAGAGUUUAUUUUCCUAUCUCUUUGAUGUGGGAGUGGUUUCAGAUGUGGGAUUCAGCUGGGAUUGCCCAGGGAUGCAGCAGUGCUCCUCUCUGGAUGGACUGAGCAUCUCAGUGAGGCUUCCCAAACUGCCUGGUGGCUGCUGUGCCAGCACCCUGAGACAACCAGGGAGAAAAUCGUCUUCCCAGUAUCCCAGCUGACAUUUUGCUCCUGGGCUGCAAGCAAAGAGACCAGUCCCGCCUGGCUGUCAGCCUUGGGCUUGGUGUCUGGAGGGGUUUUAUUGCUGUGCCUGAAAGAGGGGGGAUCACCUGGCUUCAGAGAGGUGGGGGAUCAUCCCCUUAGUGCUGUUCCACCUGGCAGAAAGAACGGGUAGAGCUGGAUCCAGCUCACCUGCCCCACUGGUGAGGGUUUGGGCAGAGCCGGUGCCAUGUCCUGAGCUGUGGCAAUGCUGCUCCAGGAGCAGAGAAGACCCAGAGCCCAAAAGAAGGCAGAGGCUGGAGUACAGCAGUGCUUUCACCCAUCCAAAGGCCAGGAGUUACACCCAGCCAGCAAUCACGUAGCUGCCUGAGAGACCAUAAGCCCCAACAAAAAUCAUAAACAUCAAUAAAGCUCUGGUGCACUCCUGA